AUACGAAGGGGGCGUAGCGUUGCUCGGAAUGACUGGGCGUAAAGGGCGUGUAGGCGGUUGAUACAGUCAGAUGUGAAAUCCCCGGGCUUAACCUGGGAGCUGCAUUUGAGACGUAUUGGCUAGAGUGUGAGAGAGGGUUGUGGAAUUCCCAGUGUAGAGGUGAAAUUCGUAGAUAUUGGGAAGAACACCGGUGGCGAAGGCGGCAACCUGGCUCAUGACUGACGCUGAGGCGCGAAAGCGUGGGGAGG
rnacentral:rRNA from 1 species